AGGGGGCAGGCAAACAACACGUCAAGUGCAAACAGAGGUCAGUAAUCCAGAGAAGAGUCCGAAAGGUACAGAACAGCAGGCAGGGUCAGGGUCAGGGCAGGCAUGCUCAGGGUCAGGGCAGGCAGGCAGGCUCAGGCUCAGGGUCAGGGCAGGCAGGCUCAGGGUCAGGGCAGGCAGGCUCAGGGUCAGAGUCAGGGCAGGCAAGCUCAGGGUCAGGGUCAGGCAGGCUCAGGGUCAGGGCAGGCAGGCUCAGGGUCAGGCAGGGUCAGGUCAGGUCAGGCAGGCUCAGGGUCAGGGUCAGGGCAGGCUCAGGCUCAGGGUCAGGGCAGGCAGGCUCAGGGUCAGGCAGGCAGGCAGGCUCAGGGUCAGGUCAGGUCAGGCAGGCAGGCUCAGGGUCAGGGGUCAGGGGCAGGGUCAGGGUCAGGGUCAGGGUCAGGGUCAGGGCAGGCAGGCUCAGGGUCAGGUCAGGCAGGCAGGCUUAGGGCAGGCAGAAUGGUCAAAACCGGGAAAACUAGAAAACAGAAACUAGAGAAUGACAGGAGCACGGGGAAAACCGCUGGUAAUCUUGACUGAACAAAACGAACUGGCAACAGACAAACAGAGAACACAGGUAUAAAUACACUAUGGAUAAUAGGUGACACCUGGAGGGGGGUGGAGACAAUCACCAAGACAGGUGAAACAGAUCAGGAUGUGACACUCGUCUCCUCAGGUUCUAGUCCUUCAAUAAAAUGGAAUGCUAUUACGACCGUGGCCUUUUGUACAGGAGGUUGGCAAUACCUUGACCAUUUAUUGAUAACAGAUAAUCAAUACUAUGACCAUCUAUUGAGAACAGAUAAUCAAUACCUUGACCAUCUAUUGAUAACAGAUUAAACAGACAGAAAAUAUGUUCAAGGAAAUCCAAUCUAAACAAAAAACUUUCAGAAAUGACAAAAGCUGCUACAGUAACUAAUAAUAUCUAGUACAGUUCAGGUAUAAUAACUAAUAAUAUCCAGUACAGUACAGGUAUAACAUACUGAGCUGUUGAUAAAUAAUAAUAUCUGGUACAGUACAGGUAUAAUGUUCUGAGUUGUUGAUAACUAAUAAUAUCAAAGCAAAUCAAAUCAAGUUUAUUUAUAUAGCCCUUCGUACACCAGCUGAUAUCUCAAAGUGCUGUACAGAAACCCAGCCUAAAACCCCAAACAGCAAGCAAUGCAGGUGUAGAAGCACGGUGGCUAGGAAAAACUCCCUAGAAAGGCCAAAACCUAGGAAGAAACCUAGAGAGGAACCAGGCUAUGAGGGGUGGCCAGUCCUCUUUGUCACGACUUCUGCUGAAGUCGUUGCCUCUCCUUGUUCGGGCGUUGCUCGGCGUUCGACGUCACCGGUCUUCUAGCCAUUAUUGAUCAAUUUUUCAUUUAGCAUUGGUUUUGUUUUGUCUUCCCACACACCUGUUUUCUAAUCCCAUUCAUUAACUGUUGUGUAUUUAACCCUCUGUUUCCCCUCAUGUCUUUGUCAGAGAUUGUUUUAUUGUCAGUGUUGUUUAUUUGUUGUAUUGGUGCGCGACGGGUCCUCGUACCCAUGUUUUUUCAUGUCUAUACUAUUUAGUGUUAUGGAGCAUGUUCUGUGGACAGUUAUUAAAAGACUCCAUUUACACUCUAUUUCGACUCUCCUGCGCCUGACUUCCUUGCCACCUAUACACACGGCGCUAACACUCUUCUGGCUGUGUCCCGGGUGGAGAUUAUAACAGAACAUGGCCAAGAUGUUCAAAUGUUCAUAAAUGACCAGCAUGGUCAAAUAAUAAUAAUCACAGGCAGAACAGUUGAAACUGGAGCAGCAGCACGGCCAGGUGGACUGGGUACAGCAAGGAGUCAUCAUGCCAGGUAGUCCUGAGGCAUGGUCCUAGGGCUCAGGUCCUCCGAGAGAGAGAAAGAAAGAGAGAAUGAGAGAAUUAGAGAGAGCAUACUUAAAUUCACACAGGACACCGGAUAAGACAGGAGAAGUACUCCAGAUAUAACAAACGGACCCUAGCCCAGACACAGACACAUAAACUACUGCAGCGUAAAUACUGGAGGCUGAGACAGGAAGGGUCAGGAGACACUGUGGCCCCAUCCGAUGAUACCCCCGGACAGGGCCAAACAGGAAGGAUAUAACCCCACCCACUUUGCCAAAGCACAGCCCCCACACCACUAGAGGGAUAUCUUCAACCACCAACUUACCAUCCUCACCAUCCUGAGACAAGGCCGAGUAUAUCUAGUACAGUACAGGUAUAAUAACUAAUAAUAUCAAGUACAGUACAGGUAUAAUAACUAAUAAUAUCAAGUACAGUACAGGUAUAAUAACUAAUAAUAUCUAGUACAGUACAGGUAUAAUAACUAAUAAUAUCUAGUACAGUACAGGUAUAAUAACUAAUAAUAUCUAGUACAGUAAAGGUAUAAUAACUAAUAAUAUCUAGUACAGUACGGGUAUAAUAACUAAUAAUAUAUAGUACAGUACAGGUAUAAUAACUAAUAAUAUCUAGUAUAGUACAGGUAUAAUAACUAAUAAUAUCUAGUACAAUACAAGUAUAAUAACUAAUAAUAUCUAGGACAGUACAGGUAUAAUAACUAAUAAUAUAAAGGACAGUACAGGUAUAAUAACUAAUAAUAUUUAGUACAGUACAGGAAUAAUAACUAAUAAUAUCCAGUACAGUACAGGAAUAAUAACUAAUAAUAUCUAGUACAGUACAGGUAUAAUAACUAAUAA
ensembl:lncRNA